rnacentral:rRNA from 1 species
AUUGAACGCUGGCGGCAUGCUUUACACAUGCAAGUCGAACGGCAGCGCGGGCUUCGGCCUGGCGGCGAGUGGCGAACGGGUGAGUAAUACAUCGGAACGUGCCCGGCAGCGGGGGAUAGCUCGGCGAAAUCCGGCUUGAUACCGCAUACGCCCAGCGGGUGAAAGCGGGGGAUCUUCGGACCUCGCGCUAUUGGAGCGGGCGGUGGCAGAUCAGUUAGUUGGUGGGGUAAAGGCCUACCAAGGCGACGAUCUGUAGCAGGUCUGAGAGGACGAACAGCCAGCUGGGGUGUGAGACACAGCACAGACUCCGACGGGAGGCAGCGGUGGGGAAUUUUGGACGAUGGGCGAAAGCCGAAUAUAGCAAUGCCGGGUGUGUGAUGAAGGCGUUAGGGUGGGAGAGUACUGUUGGCGGGAGCAAAAAAGAGUGUGCUCAGACGACAGUUUGAUGACGGUACCCGCAGAAGAAGCACCGGCUAACUACGUG